UCCUACGGGAGGCAGCAGUGAGGAAUAUUGGACAAUGGCCGCAAGGCUGAUCCAGCCAUGCCGCGUGCAGGAUGAAGGUGCUCUGCAUUGUAAACUGCUUUUGUUCGGGAAUAAACCCCUCUACGUGUAGAGGGCUGAAUGUACCGAAAGAAUAAGGGACGGCUAACUUCGUGCCAGCAGCCGCGGUAAUACGAAGGUCCCAAGCGUUAUCCGGAUUUAUUGGGUUUAAAGGGUGCGUAGGCGGGUUAUUAAGUCAGUGGUGAAAGCCUUCAGCUUAACUGAAGAAUUGCCAUUGAUACUGAUGAUCUUGAGUAUGAUUGAGGUGGGCGGAAUGUGUCAUGUAGCGGUGAAAUGCUUAGAUAUGACACAGAACACCGAUUGCGAAGGCAGCUCACUAAGUCAUAACUGACGCUGAUGCACGAAAGCGUGGGGAGCAAACAGGAUUAGAUACCCCGGUAGUCC
rnacentral:rRNA from 1 species